rnacentral:rRNA from 1 species
UGGGGAAUAUUGGACAAUGGGCGCAAGCCUGAUCCAGCCACGCCGCGUGAGUGAUGAAGGCCUUCGGGUUGUAAAGCUCUGUGGGGAGGGGCGAAAACGGCCGGUAAGAAACGACCGGUCCUUGACGGUACCUCCUUAGCAAGCACCGGCUAACUCUGUGCCAGCAGCCGCGGUAAUACAGAGGGUGCGAACGUUGCUCGGAAUUACUGGGCGUAAAGCGCGUGUAGGCGGACGGGUAAGUCAGAUGUGAAAUCCCCGAGCUCAACUCGGGAACUGCAUUUGAAACUGCUCGUCUUGAGUAUCGGAGAGGGUGGCGGAAUUCCUGGUGUAGAGGUGAAAUUCGUAGAUAUCAGGAGGAACACCGGUGGCGAAGGCGGCCACCUGGACGAUCACUGACGCU